UAGCCAUUUUGCGACAUUGGUGCUCUAUCGUGUGUCGAGGUCCGCUGUAAGCACAGCCUAGCAUUUUAUUUUAUGAAAUUUUGUUUUGGUGUCAUUUUAUUGUCUUGAGUGUGGGUCCUGGUCCUUUCAGUGACCUUUGUGUUCAGACUUUUCAUGGUCCUUUUAAUUUUUAAGAAACAAAUGAGGGAAAGUUUGUUUUGUCCUUGCGCAUCUUGCUUUACGGCAGUCCUUGGCUUCGGGUGGCCCGGCACCCUAACCUUUCAUUUUAUUUUACCAUUAAAAUUGUUUCUAUCACUAUAUGUGUUCCUAAGCGAGUGAUUGUGUCUCGUGUUUCAUAGAUCUAGUGAAAAAUGAAGAGUUUUGUUUUCGAUGUACCGUGCCCACAUUGACCGUCUGGCCGGGCGUUUGUUGUUUUACGACAGUGAAUUUCCGGAAGUGCCUGUCCCUCGCCACCACUCGAAGUCGUUUGGGUUCUCUCGGGACUUAAUUUCUGGCAAUAAUUGCAUGUUCAGUAUCACGUGGAUCAGUACAGUUCUGUUCUCAGUCUUGCAUGCAUGUCCUUUGAAAAUCGUGGAGCAAUUUCAAUUCAUACCCAGAAUGCGGUCUCCCUGUUCUCUGGGAGGUAAUGGCCCUUGCAGGGUACCGUACGUACUUGUGAAUAUUAUUUUAGAACCCUACGUGUGCACUUAGUACGUGGCCGUUUCUCUAAAUGUUGGUUUAGGUUCUCCUUCCCAGGUGUUCUCCUAUAGAAAAAGCUGAUUUGUGUUAUUCUGUCUUUACAGACAAGGAAGAUAUUCCAAGACAACUCCUAUCCUCCUUGUUUGAGGUCCUGGGCCAGACUGCAUGCGCUACUGUUCCUGCACUCCACUACCACCCCCUUCCCCUCUCGCCGGAUGGUGCGGGCCCUGCCGCUUUGGUCACAAGUGCUGACUGUGCCUUAAUGCCUAAGUGCUAGAACACUGGCCUACGAAAUAGGCAGCGUCUGCCUAUUUAUACUCAUGCCUCCAUUAUGUGACACCUAAUGUGUAUUCAAGGGGAGAAUGAAAGGGAAACUGUUGGGUUGCUCAAACCCUGAGGAUGGAUCUUAAUCAGACCUGAGGUUCAAAUGAAGAGUCCAGGGCUGGUCAUCCGGUGGGCCUGCAAUGGGAAGAGAGUGGACCAGGAGUCACUAUCCACAUGAGCCAGACAAAAAAGCAUCCUAGUAGCGAGUAGAAACAGCAGGGACUUGAUGGGAGUGUCCCAAAUAAGCUUCAGGAAUCCAGAGAUUGUUAGAGGGCAGCACAUGUGCUUUUCUUCAGGGCCAGCACACAUUUCCUCAGUGAUUACUGGACCUCUCUUUGGGAGCCAGCCUCUUUCAUCCUGCUGUGAUGUCAGGAGGAUGCCCAGCAAUUCAGACGUCACCUGUCUGUGAGCCACGUUCUUUGCUGGCUGACUGGGACGCGUUACGUGGAAGUCAAUGGGGCUCAGCACCAAGUUCAGGCUGGAGGGUGCUCGUUAACUGGCAGUGCCGAAAAGGUCUCUUCUCUUUCUUUGCCUGUGUAAAGUCACUUCUCUUCUGGGCUGUGGUUAGAGCACUGAAACUCAGAUGAGGGCUUCUGACAGCCUGCAGGGGACAGCCCUAAAUGGGCACAUGAAUUAUUCUACAGUGCAUUCAAAGACACUUCCCACCUUUGGUCUCAUAGGUGGUUCCUUUAUUGCUUUAUUAGCCCAGGUCUUAUACAGGAGGUGGCAUCACAGAACCUGCGGCUCACUCACCAAAGGCCAACACUAUCCCCAUUUCUCUGUGAGUGGAAACGAAAGUGUGUAGCCUCUAUGCAUCAUGUUGACAUUUCACAAACUUUUUAUUUGCCCUUGCAAUUGGUCAAAUGACUUUAAUUCUUUGGAAGAUGGGCAUCCUUACGGUUUUCCACUCACUGAAAACCUGAGGCCUGAGAUACGUAGGAGACCGCAUACCCGAACCCGUGUUUCUUCCCCACGUGACGUGGCGGUGACCAAGACUGGCCUAUCUGCUUGCCAAAAACAGCUGUGCAACUUAACCUUAACUGUGAUGCCUUCUUCCCCUUCCACACACUUGUGCCCACUGCCCAUCAAAGUCGCUUGGGCGCAGACCUAAGUGGAGGGCUCAGUGAGUAAAUCUGCUGACUACUGGAACUUCAAAAUAAGCCCCAAGUUUGCAUAUUCCAAAAGGGGACCCUCCUUGGUGGCGUUCUCAAAAUUGCACACUCUCAGGGGUGGAGGAGGUGGCCCUCCCCAGCAUGGCAGGUGGGAUCCAGCUGGUGGUUCUUUCCCAGGAGUUCACUCCUCGGCCAGCCAGGCCCGUUAGCCUGGUCGUGAGGCAUGUACUCAGUGAAUGUCUGCUCACUUGUGGGACUCUUAAUGUGCUGUAAAUACUUCGUGUAAAGUAUCCCACAGCAAACCCUGUUUGCCUGGGUGUUUUCUCAUUCCUCUGAGUUACGUAGGUGAUGACAAGAGAAUGGAUACGUCACCCACAUGAUGUAAAGGGAAUGGGCGCUUACCUUAAGGCGAGGCCUUAGAAGUAGAAUGUGUUCCUCGUUUUACUGUACCCAGGUUGUAUGCCCACUUUGUAUGACUGCAUAAUAUUCCAUCGUAUAUGUGUGCCACAUUUGCCUUUAUCUGUUCAUCUGUUGACAGACACUUAAGUGUUUUUCAUGUCGUGGCUAUCGUGAAUAAUGCUGCAUAGCGUGUGGGGGUGCAGCAAUCUCUUUGAAAUGGUGAUUUCACUUCCUUCAGAGAUAUCCCCAGAAGUGGCAUUGCUGAAUCACCUGGUAGAUCUGGUUCUAAUUUUUGGAGGAACACGCAUACUGUUUUCCAUAGUGGCUGCACUAGUUUACGUGGGAGAGAGAGCACAUCUUGAACUAAAUGGAUAUAAUGACAGUUUCUCCAGCCACGUUACAUUGUCUGUUCUUUUCAGGACAGGAACAAUGGAGGUUAGAGGCCUAAAAGGGAGCAGGGCUAUUAUCAUCAGGAAAGAUGGAAAGAGCACCUUGCUGUGGUCCUUUUAGGUGCUUAAUGCCUAGAGGUGGGGAGAGGUCUGGGUCUCAGAGCCUGAGGCAAAACGGGGACAGGAGGAUAGGGGGCCCUCAGUGUGAAAAGAGUAGUAGUGGGUUGUGUGUGUUCAAGAGUGUCUCUUGCCCACUUCCCGAUGCCUGGCACUUCCUGGCAUCACACAGCGGGAGGACAGAGGACCAGAGUGCAUACUGUUGAGUGGGACACAAGAAUAUGUGGUCCUGUGGCAAGGCGAGGCUUUGAUUAUGGGGGCUACUUCUUAUUUUCCGGCUUCCCUGAGGAUUUGGGGCUCUGGUACUGAGGUGGUUUGCGCUCUCAUCUUGGCCUUGGCCUGUGCGAAUGCAGUGUCUUGCUUGGCCUGUGAACAGCCGGCUCAGGAAAGGUGGCCCUUGGCCUUCCUCUGCUGUUGUCCAGAGCAGUGACCUGAGGGAGUCCUGUGAGAGGCCACCACUGUGGUGUCUGGCGAGUGGUGCCACUUGGCUGAGUUGACUAUUGGGCCUCUCGUAUGGAUAGUGAGCUGUGUUCCCACAGAGAAUGGCUGUCGCCAGCAUCGUCCUCUGGAUACACUGGGAGUGCCGGACACUUCUUCCUUUGACACUUGCCAUGGCUGAAAUUCCUCAUGAAUUCCUGAGGAAAGUUCAUACUGGCAUGGAGGCAUCUGGGGCCUGGGGAAUGUCGGGCCCGGGAAGAUGCUGAGUGUGACCGGUUGUGGGGCUUCUGAAGAUGCUGAAAGAGAUUGCUGGCUGCGCCACAGAGCAGUAGCAUUUUAGGAGUCUUGAGGAGCCCUCUGCUCUGUGUGGGAAUGGGGCUGGAGUGGUAGCCGGGUCUUCCCGUAGUCGCCUUCUGCACGCUUCUGCUGAGUAUAGUCUGCACAUUGGGGGGGCAAGAAACACCAACCACGUGGUUCCUGUCAGUGAUGGGUUCUCUGGCCACGUUUGAUUGUUGGUUCUUUUCAGGAGACGAACAAUAGAGGUUAGAGCUGGGGACGCUUGGAUCGCCAGGCCUGUGCGGCUGAGCCUGGAUGUUCAGGAUCCUCCUGGAUAGCUCUCCAGGCUGGAGGAUUAAGCCCUCCUGUUCCCCUUGUUGAAGAGGGGACAUACCUGCAGGCUGGAGCUGCCCCUUGUGCUGUUUGUCUGCUAGGAGGCAUCGCCACUAGGAUGUGUGACUCCUCUGCCAUCUCGGUCUUCUCAGGAGGGGGUGACAUUGCCUCCAGGGGACCUUGUGUGCACUCUCAAGGAGGAGGACGUCGUAGACCCAGCUGGGCGCUUCAGGAAUGGGGUGCGGUGCCGCAGCUGCUGGAGGGCUGAGCGGAUAUCGGGGGGCUUGGGGGAGCUGCAGUGUGAGGCGGGUGCUUGGGGGGAGCUCUGGUUGCCUUAUUUUGCCUUUUGGUUGAACUUAGUGACUGAACCAUGGGGCUGGCACAUAAGGGGCCCAGCCGGGAUAUAAGGACAGUCUGCGAGCAUAAGGAAAUCACAGACAGUGAGGAGGCUGAGACUUUCGUGAGAGUUGUGCUGGGCAUUGUGGUUCAGGGGUGUGUCUGUCUCCUGCCCCCUUUGCCCACCCCUCACGCUGCCUUUGGCCCAGCAUGCCUGCGGGACAGCAGACCACCGUGGACACUGACAGAUAUGAUGUGAGAAACUGUGGCUCUCUCGUAAAGCUGAGAUGCUUAUUACGGGGACAGGCUUUAUUUUCGGUUUACCUGAUGAAUUGUGGCCUUCUCCUUGGGGGAGAGGUUUUGCUAUCUCAUCCUUAUUCUGUGUUGCCUCAGGUCUGUGAAAACAGACUACUGGGGGAAGAUCGCCUUCAUCCUGCCAUUUUUCUGUGUAGUAUGGUCACCUGAGGGUGCUCUGAGAAGGAAUUGCAAGUGCUGUUGCUGGUCUUCUUCAGAAGAUCGCCCUGUUUGCUUGCUGUGUCCUGCAACUGAAUUCUCUUAGGGGAGCUGCUCAGGUUCUUUUCCCUCCCCGCUUUCAGCAGGGUUUAAACUCCAUUUCUGCUGCAACUUCCUAAGUUGUUCCCUGUGCACUUCAUUCUCAGCUUCUGUAAGCAUUUUUGCUGCCAGUCCUUGAGGGUUGAACAUUCCUGGGUUGUAAAAUUGAUAGGAUGCCUUUUUUGCUUUGAAAUAUUUGCAUACAUUACAAAGAGGCAAAGAAAGAACUUAGCAAUAUUCUAACGUACAUGUUCUAAGGAAUGGGAAGGGAGAUGUCUGUUAUCUUUUAUCAACAGGGAUAAUUUGACUUUUAUUUGUCAUUUUAUUUUUCCUUACUACACACUGGUAUGAGAAACAUGGUCUCCUUGGUAUCUGUGCCCCACCCAAAUUGGUGAAUCUCGAGUCGUGGUCAAAGUCGGGCCUGUGCAGAGAACAUUGUCGAGAAGAAGUUGUGCUAAGAGCACCUGAAGGGUGGUUCAUAAGUACCUGCAUUUGCUUAUGCAAUGCAUAAUAAUCUAGCCUGCUUAUGCUUGUAUCCAUACCUAUGUUCUCAGGGGCAGUGCUGUAUGAUCAGUGUGAUCAAGUGGAACGAGGAUUAAAACUGCCGACCUUGUUUAGAAAUGGUGUAUGCUGAUACGCUGAUGUCAGCCUUUGGUUGGCAAGUUGAGCCGUACCUUUCCUUUUAUACCUUCCAUUUCUUGAGUGCCAUGAGGGAUCAGCUGUUUGAUUUCUGUCUUUUGAUACACAGGAUGUGAUCAGGAUACAUGUUAGGAGGUAAGGACUGAGAUCUACAUUAGUGGAUAUUUAGUGUGCAGGCCUCUCAAAAUGGUGGGGAAAAUGUGCAAAAUGUGUGCACUUCUGUAUACUUUGGUCUCCUCUAGAUCCCUGUGGAUUUGAAUUAGCCCUCUCAUUCUGUCAGGCUGACUCCAGGGGCACAGCGUAUGGGUUGCUGACUUUUGCCAAUCAGGCCAUCUCACAGUUUAGAUUUGGGUUGGCGUUCUGGGCUUUCCUUGCCUCUUAUUCCUAUGCAGACCCACUGUACUGCAUCUUUUCAGCCUCAGAAAAGUACAGCAGUAGGCUGUAUUUAGUGAAUCCUAAGGAGAUUCACUGAUUUUCUCAGUUUCCCCCAUCAGUAGACACAGUGGCCUUGCAGAAUGCGGAAAGGCCUGCUAUGGUCUCUGCUACAGGUUGUGCGGUCCGGGUGCUGACCCACAGGAUACGGAAUGUGGUUAAAGCCAGGAGCCAAGCACCUGUGUUUCUCCUCCAGAGCUCAGAAUACAUGGCUUGUAUACUUAAAAAUGUGCUAUGAGGUUAGAUCUUCUUCUACCUUCUGUCAUUCUUAUUAGAACAAAAAUAUUAGUACUAAUUAGGGUGGAAUGAAACUUUGGCAGGGAUGGAUGUGUUAUGGCAUAGAUUAUGGUGAUAUUUCAUUAAUAUAUACUUAUUCCAACCUCAUUAAGUUGUAUAAAUUAAAUAUGUACAGCUUUUUGUAUGUCAAUCAUACUAUCAUUCCUCAAAUAAGAGGUUUAAAAUAAUAAUAAAAAGACCUUCACAUGAUUACAGAUGAGUGCUCCCCCUCAAAUGUUUUUAGAUUUUAGAACUGAAGGGGAAGGAUAUGUCUGCAUGGGGAAAUGGGUAAUGCCAUUUACUGCUUCUGUAUUAUUGUUUGGCUUGAUUUUUUCAUUUGUAUGUAGCAUUUACAUUGACCGUGUAUAAGGUUAACCUUUAGUCCAUAGGAUUUUGAAUUCCACAGAGCUACAGCAGUUCUAUAGAAGCCAUGUACUUCACCUGGAGGACCUCGACUCAAGGAGUGGCCCUGUGUCAUCACCUAUUUGUCAGAUGAGCACAAAUUGACUUUGGGGUACUAUGAAUUUGGGAUUCGCUUGGACUCUGGAUUGUUUUCAUUGUUUACAAUGUGUGCUUUUGUGCAUACUCAAUAAAUCUUUUAAAAUAUUUUACAUAUGGGGACAUGUCCAAAUGUACAUGUACUAUAUUUGCAUUCUACAGAGUGGAAGGCAGUAAUCUCAGGCUGACUGGUGUCUCUGAUUGGCACCUUUUCUCUGAGACCUACCCACUCCUUCUGUUCACCGUGUGACUGAGUUCCCAGGCCAUAGCUAUGUGGUUUGGUACUUUUGACAUUAUUCUACUUAAGCUGAUCAUACUUUUGUUACAUUUAGAGUUUGGGACUAGACCUCAAGAUUGAGCCAUAGCCUGCAAAGGCUCAUUAAUAUCCUUUCAUUGCAGAGAAUAUUAUUUAAAAGUCAUAUUGUUGAGUCUCCCUAAGCUGUCCUCACUUGCCUUUGAAAUGUAUCUGUUGCUUGUGUCUUGCAUCUUAUAAAAUACUUGUGUUCUUCCAACAAAAUGUCUCAGA